GAUGAACGCUGGCGGCGUGCCUAAUACAUGCAAGUCGAGCGAACGGACGAGAAGCUUGCUUUUCUGAUGUUAGCGGCGGACGGGUGAGUAACACGUGGAUAACCUACCUAUAAGACUGGGAUAACUUCGGGAAACCGGAGCUAAUACCGGAUAAUAUUUUGAACCGCACGGUUCAAAAGUGAAAGACGGUCUUGCUGUCACUUAUAGAUGGAUCCGCGCUGCAUUAGCUAGUUGGUAAGGUAACGGCUUGCCAAGGCAACGAUGCAUAGCCGACCUGAGAGGGUGAUCGGCCACACUGGAACUGAGACACGGUCCAGACUCCUACGGGAGGCAGCAGUAGGGAAUCUUCCGCAAUGGGCGAAAGCCUGACGGAGCAACGCCGCGUGAGUGAUGAAGGUCUUCGGAUCGUAAAACUCUGUUAUUAGGGAAGAACAUAUGUGUAAGUAACUGUGCACAUCUUGACGGUACCUAAUCAGAAAGCCACGGCUAACUACGUG
rnacentral:rRNA from 1 species